rnacentral:tRNA from 1 species
UUUAAAGUAAGCUAAUUUAAGCUAGUGGGCUCAUACCCCAAAAAUGAUUCAUUAUCCUUUAAUA